UACAGAGGUCUCAAGCGUUGUUCGGAUUCAUUGGGCGUAAAGGGUGCGUAGGUGGCGCCGUAAGUCAGGUGUGAAAUUUCGGAGCUUAACUCCGAAACUGCAUUUGAUACUGCGGUGCUUGAGGACUGGAGAGGAGACUGGAAUUUACGGUGUAGCAGUGAAAUGCGUAGAUAUCGUAAGGAAGACCAGUGGCGAAGGCGAAAUCUCUGGACAGUUACUGACAUG
rnacentral:rRNA from 1 species